rnacentral:rRNA from 1 species
UAAAUAGCGUCUAGCAGAAUUAAAAAAAUACCGCCACUUCCUAUUUUCUCCAGCAAGCCAAAAGAACAAUCCUAUGCGCAUAGGAGCUCCUAUGCUAAAACUACUAAUACGGAUCCUCCUUCUAGCACAUCUCUUUCUCAUGCAUUUGACAAUUAACAGACCCAAAAAGGAAAGAAACACACUCUUCACUGUUCUAACCUCACUGUAAGUCCAACUCUGAUGUGCAAAAUUAAGGUAAAAAGUCUUAAAAGGAACUCGGCAAACACGAACCCCAACUGUUUACCAAAAACAUAGCCUUUAGCCAUACAAGUAUUAAAGGUACUGCCUGCCCAGUGAAUUUUUAACGGCCGCGGUAUCCUA